UGGGGAAUCUUGGACAAUGGGGGCAACCCUGAUCCAGCCAUGCCGCGUGAGUGAUGAAGGCCUUAGGGUCGUAAAGCUCUUUCGCCUGUGAAGAUAAUGACGGUAGCAGGUAAAGAAACCCCGGCUAACUCCGUGCCAGCAGCCGCGGUAAUACGGAGGGGGUUAGCGUUGUUCGGAAUUACUGGGCGUAAAGCGCACGUAGGCGGACCAGAAAGUUGGGGGUGAAAUCCCGGGGGCUCAACCCCGGAACUGCCUCCAAAACUAUUGGUCUAGAGUUCGAGAGAGGUGAGUGGAAUUCCAAGUGUAGAGGUGAAAUUCGUAGAUAUUUGGAGGAACACCAGUGGCGAAGGCGCCUAACUGGUCCGGUACUGACGCUGAGGAACGAAAGCGUGGGGAGCAAACAGGAUUAGAUACCCUGGUAGUCCACGCCGUAAAACGAUGAGUGCUAGAUGUUGGGAUUUUCGGAUUUCAGUGUCGCAGCUAA
rnacentral:rRNA from 1 species